rnacentral:rRNA from 1 species
GCUGUGGAACUCCUACGGGAGGCAGCAGUGGGGAAUAUUGGACAAUGGGGGCAACCCUGAUCCAGCAAUGCCGCGUGAGUGAAGAAGGCCUUCGGGUUGUAAAGCUCUUUUGUCAGGGAAGAAACGGUAGUAGCUAAUAUCUAUUACUAAUGACGGUACCUGAAGAAUAAGCACCGGCUAACUACGUGCCAGCAGCCGCGGUAAUACGUAGGGUGCAAGCGUUAAUCGGAGUUACUGGGCGUAAAGCGUGCGCAGGCGGUUGUGUAAGUCAGAUGUGAAAUCCCCGGGCUCAACCUGGGAAUUGCACGUGAGACUGCACGGCUAGGGUGUGUCAGAGGGGGGUAGAAUUCCACGUGUAGCAGUGAAAUGCGUAGAUAUGUGGAGGAAUACCGAAGGCGAAGGCAGCCCCCUGAGAUAACACUGACGCUCAUGCACGAAAGCGUGGGUAGCAAACAGGAUUAAAAGCCCCAGUAGUCCUACCACGU